rnacentral:lncRNA from 1 species
GGGAUGACUCCUAGAUUUCUGGCUUGCUUACCAGAAUGGAAGCUCAUAUUGUUCACUGAUAAUGGUCACACCAGAAGAAAACCAGUAUGUGGAUAUGAUGGUAAAUUUCUGAAAAGACAAGCUGGUCAAGAAUAUGAGUGGAAUCCUACAUCAUUGCGGAAGACUUACAGAAAAAACAAGGCACAGGUGUGCAAGGCUGACCUUUAUGGAGCACUUUUUGACUUUGAUCCUUAGGGAUUUCAUCGCUUCUGCUCUGUAGCCAUUUUGAGUUAUAGGUUUCAGAAUGAAAUAAAAUGUUGCUGCUUUGGCUAAA